rnacentral:rRNA from 1 species
CCUACGGGCGGCUGCAGUGAGGAAUAUUGGUCAAUGGCCGGAAGGCUGAACCAGCCAAGCCGCGUGAGGGAGGAAGGCGCAGAGCGUCGCAGACCUCUUUUGCCGGGGGACAAAAGGCCGGACGGGUCCGGUUCUGAGGGUACCCGGAGAAAAAGCAUCGGCUAACUCCGUGCCAGCAGCCGCGGUAAUACGGAGGAUGGGAGCGUUAUCCGGGUUCAUUGGGUUUAAAGGGUGGGCAGGCGGGCCUUUAAGCCGGCGGGGAAAUCGCGGGGCUCAACCCCGCCGCGCCGUCGGAACUGGGGUCCUUGAGUGCGGGGGAGGCAUGCGGAAGGCGCGGUGUAGCGGUGAAAUGCAGAGAUAUCGCGCAGAACCCCGAUUGCGAAGGCAGCGUGCCGGGCCGCCACUGACGCUGAGGCACGAAAGCGCGGGGAUCGAACAGGAUUAGAUACCCUUGUAGUC